GAACUGGAAUGGCCUGAGUGAGACAGAGUGGGGCCGAGCUAAGGAGAGAGCAGGGGCCCGAGGUUGUUCAUAACGGAAGUGGAGUAUUGACGUCAGCAUUCUGGCAGCAGCUGAACUCCUCAGAAAUCCCAUGGACAGAAAUCUCCCUCUGAAAUCCUGUGGUUCUUCUGCAAAAACAGGGAAGACAAGACUGGAUAUUUCUGAUAUUUGUAAGAACAGGGACCGCACUGACAGGGAGAAUGCAGCCAGUGCCCCAGCUAUGAACAACAGGACUGGCAGCUCCACGAAGAACUGUCUGAGGCAGAAUAAGAGCUCCGUGUGCAGCAGAAGAGCCAGAGAUGACUGAAAUCGCACAUGUUAAAUGCGCCUAAGAUGCGACAGACUUGCAGAAUAUUAGAAAGCCUGGAAGGACGAGGCUAAAGGCAGGAAAUAAGCCAGAGCUUAGACAAGAAGGAUAUUCCAAAAACCCUGAGACAGCAGAUGCAAGUAGGAAAUACAGCAAAGGGAACACA